rnacentral:rRNA from 1 species
GACGUCUACGAGUUGAUCCUGGCUCAGAUUGAACGCUGGCGGCAUGGCUAAUGCAUGCAAGUCGAACGAAAGCCCUUCGGGGCGAAAGUGGCGAAAGGGCGAGUAAUACGAUCGAACGUACCCCAAGGUGGAGGAUAGUGUCGGGAAACUGACGGUAAUACUCCAUGUGCUCUUCGGAGGAAAGCUUUGGCGCCUCGGGAGCGGCGAUCGUCCUAUCAGGUAGUUGGUGAGGUAAUGGCUCACCAAGCCGAAGACGGGUAGCGGGGUGUGAGAGCAUGACCCGCCGCAUCGGGACUGAGACACUGCCCGGACUCCUACGGGAGGCUGCAGCGACGAAUCUUCCGCAAUGGGCGCAAGCCUGACGGAGCAAUGCCGCGUGUGGGACGAAGCGUCUUCGACGUGUAAACCACUGUCAGAAUCUAGGAACACUGACCAGAUUCAAAGGAAGGGCCGGCUAACCUCGUG